GUUGUGGCGAUUGCUGUGCUUGUCGUUCCGCAAGGUCGGCAGUGUGGUAUUGUCGUUGUGGCUUGCGAUGCAUUUACGUACGGAGUGCGCCGAGUUGCGUGGCGGUGUCAAUCGAAGCGUUUUGAGAGGACAUGGCUUCGGCUGUGAAACCUUGGAGCGUGUAGGUUGGUUACUGCUGCGUAAUUUUGUGGAAGUGCGGGUUUUUCGCGAGUUUGGGCGUUGAUUUGGUCGGUUUGUGUUGUACGCAUGCGUGCGGCGCUUAUGGGCUAGGUCGGCGUUUGAGUUUGCUCUGUGCUCUUCUCGGUGUAUAGUCAAUGACCCACCUGACCCGUCUUGAAACACGGACCAAGGAGUUUAUGGUAUACGCGAGUCAUUGGGCUUCUAAACCCAAAGGCGUAAUGAAAGUGAGAUCUUAUUGGUUUUAAUGUGAUCGGUCGUUGUUUCGACGGCGGCCGAGCAACAUUGCCCCGUUUCGAGGACUUGUCCUGUUGCGGAGGUUGAGCGUAUGCUAUGAGACCCGAAAGAUGGUGAACUAUGCCUGAACAGGGAUGAAGCCAGAGGGAAACUCUGGUGG
rnacentral:rRNA from 1 species